rnacentral:lncRNA from 1 species
AGAAUGAACAAUAAGGUUCAAGUUAAAUCCCUAAGAUGACGUUAUUUGUAACAGCAGUACAUUUUCUCUAAUUACUUCUUAUGAUAAGGUCUGAGGAUAAAAAUCUUUUAAAUUAUGGAUUUAAAAUCUAAUGAUUCGGACUGGGCAUUGACGGAGAUGAAGUGUGAACUUUCAAGAAGAGGUGCACGGACUUAUUUGAGGAAUAUCCAGUUGAUUGAGCAUCUUCAGUCAUAUGAUCUGUGUUGAGAUCGUCGGCUCGUCUGUUCAGAUUUCUGAAGGUAAUCCAAUGCCAAUGAAUUCUGAGGCAAAACUCCUCAGAAUUCAAAACUACCGUUGAAUGCAAUAGAUACGACAUGCCCCUAUAACAAAUGCUCAUAUUUGACGCUAUGUUGUCCACCGCCUGGUAGGAUGUAAUACUUAGAACCAAGAUAUUGCUUCAAUGUGUUGCUAUGUGGAUCAGUAAUGGCUAUGAGCUUUUUCCAACCUGAUGAUGAGAAGAUACUCUUUAUGUGAAUCGUAAGAGCCGAAAUGAAGAGGAUUUUUACUACAUAAAGCUUGUUGUGACAACUUCAGGAGAUGUAUUAAACAAUAGCUAUAAAUAUGUGCAACUGGGGUUGGGCAUCACGCUACGUGAAAGCGCCUAGUAUCCGUGCUCCUAGUUUUGGAAGACUUUGUCUCUAAUGGAACCGUUUAUGUGUUAGUCUUGUACAGAACAAAUAAUUCAAACUGCCAAUAAAUGAGGUCGUGGGGAACCUAUUCAAAGAGAAGAAAUCGGUUGCUCCAGUUACAUCACCAUUACAAAUUCAUCUCUUAAUUUAUUCCAUUUACAUAUUACGUUGAUGAUUAUCCUAGACUAAACGAUCCGUAAUAGAAAAGCAUAUACGGGUGACCUCGCAUUAAACAAUAAAUUAUAGCAAUUGGUCAGGCAUCGACGUCUCAUAGAGAUAUAUAUUUGGAUCUGCUGAUUUCCAAUCAGCCGUACUUUAUAACAAUUCAUUAACUUAGCAAUUUACUCAUUUUUAGGUAAAAUACUGUCUUUGCUAAUCCUAUUAAUUGCUUAAAAACAAUUUUCCUGUCAUUUACAACAGUGGAUCGUAUAAGAUGAUUGAUUCCUCGCAUUGGAGUUGGUGUAAUAACUUUAGUUUUCAUUCGUAAAAAGGCCUUGCAGCCUCGGACGUAAUAGAAUCUCCUUUGGAAAUUCAAGCAUCCUUGAGAAAUUGAGAUCUUCUAAUUAUUUGACGAUCACUUCAUACGGAGGUGAGAAGUAGGAAACUAAAAAUAUUGGACUUAUUCCAACCAUUAUUUUAACUGUACUAGAGUUUUUAAAAAAAGCUCCAGGUCGACCUUUUAUCUUUUCCAUUAGAUGGGUUAUUUAUUCUUGCCUUAGUUACAUAUAGUAUCAGGAAACUUCAAUUUAAAGUCAUUCGUCAUGUAAAGGUUGGUGAUUUCCUUGGAUAGAAACAGAUCAAUAUAUUUAAUUGAUAAUAUUAGAAAUUGAGCCACGUCUUGAAAACUUUCCCUACAGAAGUUCGAUGUAUUUUGAACAAUAUCUAAAGCUCCAAAUCAUCUUUGUUCAUGAUUCAUGAGGGUUAAGAAAGGCUUAUCCUUUUGUGAUCAAUCAAGAUUUUAAUAGUUAAGAUGAUCGACAGCAGGCCCAAGACAUGACAAAUUUUUAAUGGGUUAAGACACCGAUGAGUCAUCAACAAAAUUUUCAAUAGAAAAAUGGAUCGAAUAAUAUUUUCUCUAGUAAUUAAGUGAUGAACGUUCUUUGAUGUUGUGGAAGUAUUUAUUAUCCCUUCGAUAUUCUUUGUCCCAAGUAUUAUUAGAACUACCUUGUUUCCUAAUUUUCAUUCAGAAUAUCCAUUUGAAUAUCAUUGAAUUCCUAAUAAAAAAAAUAGUAAUAAAUGGAAAUAACUUAAAGUUAUGAAUCUUCAGAUUGAGCUUCUUUUGCUUUACCAUUAAAAAAAAUUGUGUAUAUAUUCACUAAACUAUGACGUUUUUCUGUUCGUAUUAUGACGAGCUAAGUAUCCUUGCUUCACUUUUGACCACAGCAAAAGGGAGGGAUCUGGCUUAAAUUUCAAAAUAAUGUUUGAUCUUCUUCCAAGUUCUUCAUAGUUUUGCUUCCUGGAAAUCAUCUGACUGGAAGUGGACCCUGCAGAUGAUGGAUGUAGGUAAUGGUUUCCAAAGUCUAUCCUUACUAUCUAUACAAGGGUAAAUUCUUUUCAUGACAAUCUGGCAUUUUAAAGAAAGGCUCCUCUCUUAAGGAAAUUUGCACCCACUUCUUCUUGAGCAACCAGGAACAACACAAGAUGGGAUAUCCAGAAAAAAUGUUGGAUUUAAAAUACUCCUUUAUGGAUGCAAGCUCCUUCUCAGUAGUGACAUCGCGGUAUAGUUAAUAAACUCAAAGCUCUCACACCCUAUUGUUAAACUUUACGUGAGUGUUCUAAUGCAAAAAAAAUUUUAAAAAUAAUGACCAAUUAAUUAUGUUUCUAUGAUGAUGUUAAAUUUAAUAAAAAUUCUGAUUGUGCUUUA